CUUUUGUUGUCAUCUUCUUCCGGGGUCCAAUCAAAUGCUCGUAGGUAAGCAUUGAGAGACCUAGAGAACAUGUGAGAAUCGCACGUGCACAGUCUAAUGGUCCUCUACAUGCGCUGUCUGCAAGUAGAGAGUCUCAUUCUGUCUGUCUCCAGUAUGCAGUGCACACUGACGACCGUUGCAAUUUUUGCACAAAACGUAUUUUAGGUAAUCCCAAACAGAGGUCCAGGCUGCAAAGGUCAUGUUUGAAUCAAAAGUGCAGAUAUCUCUCAAUAGGC